UUCAAACCGCUGAUUGAGAAGAGUAAGUUUUUUUUGUGUUUACAGAGAAUUGCAGGUGCUGAGAUUGCAAUAUCACGAAAUUUUCCGAAUGGGCUCAUGAGGGCAGCAGGAAAGCAAUUGCAAGUAAUAGCUGACGGGAGCCCCAUCCGUUAUCAACAGGGCAUAUAUCCUAUGCGGAUAUAUGAUAAAGUGGUCUGCAAUGCAGGCAAUUUGGGUGGUACCGCAGAGCGUUUAGUCUUUGUCCCUUUU
rnacentral:ncRNA from 1 species